UGAAGAUGCAGACUCAGGCGGGAGCCAGUGCUGAGUGCCGGCCUCUGUGCAGUCGGUUAGCUGGCAUGUGGGAUGGACGGGAAAUUCCACAGACAGCAGGUGUGUUUCACAACCUGGGAAUGUCCCCAGGACUAAGAAGCCUGAGUACUCUGCAGGUGUGGGAAAGCUUCAGCGUCGGCCUAAGGGGAGAAUUCCUAUGAGAUUCUCAAACAAGCCUCCAGAAACCAUCCAGCAGUCCUCCGCCUUUUCCAGUUCAGGCUUCCCAUAAACCAGUGUCAGGUCAGAGGUCGUCAUCCCAUUUCCACGUUCAUGGAACACCGUGAGACUUCUCUUCUCUGAGGAAGCAGUUUGGCAGUGCUGGACUUCUGAGCACGGCCAGAAAACGUCCCCGAAGCAAACGCAUUGUUUAAAGUUUAAAACUGCAGCAAGACUUGAACCCUGCUGGACAAUCCAGUGCCUUCUCCUCGCUCACACCCCUUCCCCACGCCAACCUUCCAGCCUCUGCUCAGGCCUCCCACUGCAGGGAACCUCCUCCUCGCUGCAGGGGAAUCUCUCACGUAGACAUUGGCUCACGUCAUUCCCCUUGUUUAGAAGAGUCUAAGGACUUCUCCACGUUGGUCCACAAAGUCAAAGCUCCUCAGCAUUUUGUACAACAUCCUUCCGGGAGUGGCCCCUCUCACCUCCGGUUACACCCACAUCCCUGAUGCACCCCAUAUUCCAGCCACGGCAGUGACUGAGACCUCAGGCUGCACCAGGCUCCCUCAUGCCACUGUCGCUGCACAGCCCACUUCAAACCUCAGCAUGUCACCUUCUCCUUGUCCCAUGUGGCAAGCUCCUCACCUCUCUCUUCAGGGCAGGUGUGGCCUCCUCCGGGAAGCUCACCUGCCUCCCUCUCCUCCCACACACGCCUCACCUGUGGGCCAGCUCACCGAGUUUACGUCUCUGCUCCCUCCCGAGCCCCAGUCCCACAGUCUGUACUUCAGAGUGGAGAUUCUGUCUCAAAAACUGAAAGUUGCAGCUGCCCCAUGAUAAACAUUCAAUAAGCGUUUCUAGAAUGAAUGGACAGAUGGGUUUUCCACUUGAAGAACAGGACAUUCCGUUUAGCAGUUGGGGGAUGGGGAGGCAAGCAGGGUGCUGACUACUCAGUAUACAAGAUUCCACUCUCCUGUCUGGAUGUGCUGAGGCCCUUGGGGAAGGGUCUUUGUUCAAAUUCUCUGCUUGCUGGUAGUGACCUUUACAAUUCCACUCGCACCUCUGCCUGAAGCCCCAGCGAAACCGGAAAACCAGAAUGUAACCCUGCUGGCGAAGUUUGGAGAAGGAAUUUUAUACAACUUCUGUGGAUUUGGAGAAAUGGAAGAACCCACUCUUCUUUUGGGGUCAGGAUGUCA
rnacentral:lncRNA from 1 species